UUAACUUUUUUUUCUCUCUCUCUCUCUCUCCAUUUUUUAUACUCUUAAUCUUCUUUUCCCAAAAUAAAACAAAAAAGCGUCAUCUUCUCUCGUCUCUCUUUAUCCCCAAACCAACAAACCCUCGUCUUCUAUCUUUUGCCCCAAAUCAUGAAACCCUACUCUGAAAUUAUUGCCGACCUAUCUGAUUUAUUUCUUUCUAUUUGAAUGGAUUCCUUUCUCUCUUCUAUCUUCGAAUCAUUGCUUUUUGAAUCGCCCUAAUACAUGAAUGAAAAGCAUCUUAAACAGAGAAACGCGUUGUUGCGGUGUCAUAAUACAUCAAAAACAAAGGCAAAUGAAGGCCCACGUCGCGACCCACAUCUGAAGUUGUUUCAUCAACCGUAUCAGAGCUAGGUUAUCCUCUUCUCACCUCUUCUCUGUUGAUAAAGUUUUCAAGUUCUCGGCAACCCACAAAACAAAUUCAGCAGGGAAUAUCAAAAGUAAAAUAGACAUCUUCUCAAAUAUGAAGGGGGAAUGUCAACCUUCAAAUGUCUUGUGAACAACAACCAACUAGUUGCAUCAUCUAAUAACUAUAAUGGGUGAACAAAGGUUGUACCUGCUGCAUGUUGGACUACAUUUGCAUUGCGGGUGGUAAAAAUAACUCUGCUUCUAGUUGACAUAUCGGUAUGGCUCUGUUCAAGGUACCCAAGUAUAAUUUGGAUGUUUCUUUUAAGACAUCAACAACUAUGGAGUAUAAUUUGGAUGUUUCUUUUAAGACAUCAACAACUAUGGAGUACUUUGUACACGCCAAGAUUGCGAGUACGUAAUCAGUGGACAAGUUUUCUUUUUCUACUGUAAUCAAGGUGAAAAUUGUGAUUGCAUGUCUUUGGUAAGAUAAAGGAUUUGUCAUCGCGAAUCUCAACAUACUUUACAAACUUGUAAAAAUCAUUUUUAAUAUACUUUUUAAUUUGUUUGUCAACUACUUUAAUUUCUUAAUAGUUGUCCUUAUUUUUACUCUGAAAGCAUUUGGUGUCUCCAUUUAUUUUUAGGUAAAGCCAAAGGUUGGUUGGUACGAUAUGUUUCAAAGUAGAUUCAAGUCAUGGAACACUAAUCUUCUGCAGGAAGGGAGAAGGGACAAUUCAAUGCAAAAUUAUCCCAUUAUGAUGAAUCAACUACUAUGUGGAUUUAGUUCGUGGAAGGAAUGCUAAUUCAAGUUAUGGGAUGCAAGAAGAUUCUUUAGUCUAGAAAUAAUUUUAUUUUUAUGUUUAUAUAUGCAGCACAUUUAUGUCAAUUUGAUUAUAUUAUUAA